rnacentral:rRNA from 1 species
GACGAACGCUGGCGGCGUGCUUAACACAUGCAAGUCGAGCGGUAAGGCCCUUUCGGGGGUACACGAGCGGCGAACGGGUGAGUAACACGUGGGUGACCUGCCUUUAGCUCUGGGAUAAGCCUGGGAAACCGGGUCUAAUACCGGAUAUGACUCCGCGGCGCAUGUUGUGGGGUGGAAAGCCUUGUGCGGCUGGAGAUGGGCCCGCGGCCUAUCAGCUUGUUGGUGGGUGAUGGCCUACCAAGGCGACGACGGGUAGCCGGCCUGAGAGGGCGACCGGCCACACUGGGACUGAGACACGGCCCAGACUCUACGGGAGGCAGCAGUGGGGAAUCUUGCGCAAUGGGCGAAAGCCUGACGCAGCGACGCCGCGUGA